UACGUAGGGGGCAGCGUGUCGGAUCGAUUGGUGCGUAAAGAGCGUGUAGGCGGCUAUUUAAGUCCUGCGUGAAAUCCUGCGGCUCAACCGCAGACGGUCGUGGGAAACUGGAUGGCUAGAGUGCGGGAGAGGAGAGUGGAAUUCCCGGUGUAGCGGUGAAAUGCGCAGAUAUCGGGAAGAACACCCGUGGCGAAGGCGGCUCUCUGGAACGCAACUGACGCUGAGACGCGAAAGC
rnacentral:rRNA from 1 species